rnacentral:rRNA from 1 species
UACGUAGGGUGCAAGCGUUGUCCGGAAUUAUUGGGCGUAAAGAGCUUGUAGGCGGUUUGUCGCGUCUGCUGUGAAAUUUCGGGGCUCAACCCCGAACUUGCAGUGGGUACGGGCAGACUAGAGUGUGGUAGGGGAGACUGGAAUUCCUGGUGUAGCGGUGAAAUGCGUAGAGAUCAUGAGGAAGACCAGUGGCGAAGGCGGGUCUCUGGACAGUUCCUGACACUGAGGCACGAAGGCCAGGGGAGCAAACGGG